rnacentral:rRNA from 1 species
UACGUAGGGUGCGAGCGUUGUCCGGAAUUAUUGGGCGUAAAGAGCUCGUAGGCGGUCUGUCGCGUCGAAUGUGAAAAACCCGGGGGCUCAACCCCGGGCCUGCAUUCGAUACGGGCAGACUAGAGUUUCGGUAGGGGGAGUCUGGAAUUCCUGGUGUAGCGGUGAAAAUGCGCAGAUAUCAGGAGGAACACCGGUGGCGAAGGCGGGACUCUGGGGCCGAUACUGACGUGAGGAGCGAAAAGCGUGGGGGAGCAAACAGG